CGACGCGGAGAGAGAAAGAAAGGUAAGCUCUUUUUUUUUCCCUCCAUUUUUUUUUUCAUUUGCUAUUUUGCUUCAAUUUGUAAUAAUAUCAUUUUGAGUUCAAUGUAAAUUUUGUUUAUCAAUUUUAUGUUAAUGAAUUUUUUGAUAUUAUUAUCAAUUGUGUUUAUGGAAAUUUUUUAUUAUUAAUUUGUAAUUUGUCGUUAUUUUUUGUAACUUCCUGUGACGCUGAG
rnacentral:misc_RNA from 1 species